GCCCCUGUAGUUAAAUGGAUAUAACCGCGGACUUCUAAGCCGCUGUUCGAGGUUCGAUUCCUCGCAGGGGCA
rnacentral:tRNA from 1 species